AGGAACCGCACGGGACGCUGCGCGGCUGGGAGAGAGAACCUGCCUUCCCCCAGCGUUUUGGGACAGCUAAACCCAGGAACCAGUUACCCCGGCACGGCCCCCACUUCCCCCACACACACCAGCCCCCAGGAGGAUCAGCACAUGGGACGCCGUCCAAGCCUACGUGGGCCAGACUCCAAGGCUACGGGCUGCUUGGGAAUGAGAGCGCAGGAGUUUCUGGAGAGGGGAGUUGGGCUGGACUCUCAUCCGUGCACAAGUCCCCGUCCGGGUGCUCAGGUCUGAUUGGAGGCUGAAAUCUUUGGGAGAAGGUCAGGCACCUGGGACAAGUUAGUUCCCAGCUCUGCUCUGGGAAGUGAGCCCAAGCCACCAGCAUCCCGGAGAUACAGGUGGGAGCUGGGAUGGCAAAGCACCCACCUGAUGCCAGGAUUAGUGGAUGGAGAGGAGCGGACACAGAAAGCCAGGAGGGCCUGACAUCCAGCCGGCUGACCAUGGACUCCCAGAGUAUCUGGCACAGUUCCCUGGGGACCGUCUUGCUCCUGGCCUGGCUGAGUGUUGGCUGGGGCAUCGGCAGCACUCAGUAGGGGACAGCCAGCAGGACCCUGGUGUUCGGCCUGGAGCCUCAGCCCCGCCAUCGGCGCCAGCCAGGCCGUGGGGAAUGGACGUCAUGGGGAGGCUGGAGCGCCUGCUCCAGUACGUGUGGGGACGGUGCCUCCUUUCGCACCAGGAAAUGCAUCCGGUGAGUGGGGGAGCUGGGGGGGCGGUGGGGUCCAUGAGAACCACUCCCCAU
rnacentral:lncRNA from 1 species